CAAUGAAGAAAACACAGAAGAACAAAGUUGUGCGUGACUGACAGCUGGUCGGUCUCUUCGGGAGCUGGCGGCAGUAACUCAGGACUCGUUGCGCAAAUAUGCCAAGCAUGAGAGGGCUGAACUAGCAGACCCCGGAAGCUGGCACCACUUCAUUCAGAUUAGAAGGUUACUUCUGCCGGUCACGUUCCCACUGCCACGGUUUUCUGCUGAUUUUCCUGGGGAGGAAGACGGAUCCACUCAGCCUUUCCAAAAUACCCAUGGAGAAUCUUCUAGAAGCUAGAUACUACUACAAGCCAGAGAAGCAAACUUAAUCUGGGAACAGAACAUGGACACUGGGAAAGAAAGAGCUAUGAUCAUGGCUACAGACAGACACUGAAAGUCAGACUUCUUCAGCAUCACCAGCAUUGUGAGGGAAUCUUUAUUUCUUCCCUGACCCUAACAGAACUUCCAGAGAAGAUGCUUUCUCCUUCACAACCUCACAGCAUGAGCAAUCACUGGAUGUUUGAAGUUCCAUCUACCAAUUUGACUGGGAACACAGGAAAAGACCUGGAGGAUGGACACCAAACCACUCAGGCCAAAUGAAGAUGAUUUAGAAGCACUAGCUAGAAAUACUCCUGUGUUGUGCUAAGAUGUUAGUAAUGCUUGUUACUGCAGCAUUGGUAGCCGGACAUUGACUUACACAGUUCCUUAGUAUGGAUAGCUAUUCCUUCUUCAUGGUCAGAUCCUCCAAGCCACUGCUCAAAUGGUAUUUCCCCCAAAUUGCUUUACUCAAUUCAUUGAAGAUCUCCUUUGAGAUUUCUAGGGCCCAACAGAAGAUUCCCAAAUGUAUUUCAAGACACAUCUACCAUUGCCCAUGGCUCUAGAUUCUUAAAUCUUUAGAUAUGUUCUACUUUAGCCAGAAAGGCUUUUGAUUGACAAUUUAAAUCCAUCUUUUGAAUGCAGGGAAGAAAUCAUUAACACCGAAUAUGGGAAAGAGGAAGGAGAGACUGCAUGCCGUUGUGAUAGAAAUUAUAUUUGAGAAGAGGGGCCUGACCAUUGCUUUAUGUUCAGCCAACAUCCUCUCGGACUCCCACCAGACCUUCUAGACUGGAUCAUUUUACCUGCACACCUACCCUUGAUUUAGUCUAUUUUUCUUUCCAGAUAUUCUUAUCCCUAUUCCCAUGGACAUGCCAUUGGCAUGUCUAAAGCCCAUUUUAAGAGCUUAUCUUGCCGUGAUUAGAUUCUAAUACUACCUGCAAUAGACUCAGUAGAUUGAGGAAGGAUAGUUUUCUUUCCUGGAAGGACUGAGAACCCCAGGGUAUCCAUUAGAGUCUCUUUGAAGUCACCUUUGAAACCUUUUAGUGCCCAGCAACUAACUAAAAGAACUUAGAUCAUGCUCUCUGGGGACAAGAGUCUCUGGAAAAAAAUAGAAAGACCAUAUUUUUGUUUGGUUGUCUGUGGUCUUGGAAUAGCUGGUGAUCAAUUUUUUACUUAAAAUAUUUUAUACUAAAAAAUUGAAAAUAGAAUUAUGGCCUUCAUUUCUCUCUAACUUCAUUACCAUAUUCCUGGACCAAACCUAUAAUCUCCAUAUUAAUUUGAUUGUCCUUCAUAUAAAGACAUUGGGUACAUGGUGAAUUACCACAAAUUUCACAUUUUUGGUAGAGUACAUCUUUCUUAUAACCCCAUCUCUGAGGGUCAGGCUUCUAUUCCAGCUUAGAUGGGCUCUGUGCUCUAAAGAGUGUCCUCAAGAUACUAAUCAAGUGCAGCAUUGUAGGGGAUUGC